GCCGGGUGCGGUGGCACGCGCCUGUAAUCCAAGCUACCGGGAGGCUGAGGCUGGCGGAUCGUUUGAGCUCAGGAGCUCUGAGCUGCAGCGGACUAUGUCGAUCGGGUGUCCGCACUAAGUUCGGUAUCGAUAUGGUGCUCCUGGGGGAGCCCGGGACCACCAGGUCGUCUAAGGAGGGGUGCACCGGCCCAGGUCGGAAACGGAGCAGGUCAAAGCCCCCGUGCCGCUCAGUAGUGGGAUCGCGCCUGUGAAUAGACGCUGUAGUGCAGCCUGAGUAAUACAGCGGGACUCAGUCUUUU
ensembl:misc_RNA Metazoa_SRP Metazoan signal recognition particle RNA